GACUUUGUGGUGGCGCGGCGCAGUGGUGGUGGUACCCGGCGUGCGGGUCCGGCGCGGCCGCCUGCGCGCUGCUGGCGCUGCGGGCCGCGCGCCCGCGUCGCGGCGCGUCGCUACACAUCGCAGGUGUGAAUAUAACCAGCUCCCCGCGAGUGGUCACGAGCAGACAAGUGUCCCCGUCACGAGUCAUACUCGCACGCCUCUUCAAUAGAUCCGCUUCGUUCCAGCUCACUGAUUCUCAGGAAACUAAGUUUGAAGUGUGGAGAGAGAAACGUCCGCCGCCCCCCUUGCCACCUAUCGACUUUGACUAAGUUCUGCUGUGACUAUUGGUUGGAUGAAAACAUAAAGAAAAUAUUUAUGAAUUAAUAUUAUUAUAGAUAUAUAUUAUGUAGAGUACCUAAAUGUAAACGUUCAAGAUGAAAUUAAUAUAAUAAAAAGCUAGAAAAAAAAAUAUAUGGCCGGACUCAAAUCCUGUUGAACCGCUAAUGUUAUGAGCCGUGCCCACCCCAGUAACAGGCGCGGAACUCUUAACAUAGGACACGCACAACGGCCCAAAUGAGAGGCUAAGCGCGGAAAACAGAGUCUUUCUCACAUUCACAACAUAGGACACAUUCAUGUUAUAGAGUACAUAUAUUGUCUUGUUCAAGGGGCCAGGCCCUGCCCUGGAAUACAUUAGUGUAUUUAAGAUUAUUUUGCAGGGCGGGCAUGGUUCCUUAAAGGCGUAUAUGUAUUCUAAGACAUGUAUUUGUGAAGCUUCACUCGGAUCCUGGGGUGGGCAUAAGACAAUUUAGAGAGGGGAACGACCUACCCGACCCCCUCUUAAAUACGUGUAUACUGGAAAAUAAGUAUGACAAUGGUAAUUCUUAUAUUUUGUACCGAAGGCACUUCACAUAAUUUAUUUAUUUAUUUAUAGCAAGGCAACAGAUUACAAAUUAAUACAUUAAUAAAAUAAAUAUUACAUAAAACAGCAUUAAAUUUGCACUCCAACAACUGCUCCGCACAACAUUCGAUAUUAUAUACAUUAAAAGAAUGACGGCUAUAGAUUUAAAGUAACAAAUUGGCAGCCUUAAUGUAACGUUGCAAGGAUUGUUGGUAAAUAUCAAGGUAUCUUGCAUAUACCUAUUGUUAUAAUGACCUGCGUUUACAGUCUUGUAUUUGAUUGUGGAGAAAUCUCGUUCCUUUCAAUAUCUUAGGUUAUCCACUUAUUGAAUUAUGUACCGGUAUACUCUCGUGAUGGCGUCUACCCGCGUAGUUGUCGUUGUGUGUUAACACGUUUGUUGUAAGUGUAUUUGUGUGCGUGUUUACUUUUAGAUAUAGUAUUUACGUAAGGAGGCACCUUAUGUAGUUCUUUAUUUGCUAAGUGUUAUAUACUGUGCGAUGUAAUAAAUGUAUGUAUUUAUUGUAGCCCAAGUUUUUAAUUUCUAUGCAAAAAUCCUCUGCAUGGGCACCUCUGUCCAGCUCGUGUUUUAAAAGGGAAGUGUUACAACUGCAUCGCAUACUUAGUUUUAAAAAAACAUUAACCUAUGACGCUUUCAUGUCUUAGACUUAAAUAUACAUAUUCUCAUGUGAAAUUGCAUGUUAUUAAAGGUAACACGUUUGUGUAGGGUGGGAGGGGGGAAUAGAUUUUUAGUAAUGGGGGGUACUGCUCUAUUGCUAGCAAUAUACUCUAUUAGGUAAAUCUCCACGCGGUUUCCCCUGGAAACCCACAGACUUAGUAUAACAUUGGAAACCAUUGUGGUUAAUUAUUGUUGAUUUCAUCACGAUGGGCCAAUUGGCCUGCUCCGGGGGGAAAGGGAUUGUUAGCAAUGGAGACUGAGAAUCCCUGCUAGCAAUAUACCUAACCAGGUCGACCUCCUCACGGUUCCCCCUGGAAAC